GACGUAGGGCGCGAGCGUUGUCCGGAUUUAUUGGGCGUAAAGAGCUCGUAGGCGGCUUGUCGCGUCGUGUGUGAAAUCUCAGGGCUCAACUCUGACAUUGCAUACGAUACGGGCAGGCUUGAGUUCGGUAGGGGAGACUGGAAUUCCUGGUGUAGCGGUGAAAUGCGCAGAUAUCAGGAGGAACACCGGUGGUGAAGGCGGCAUCCUGGACCGACACUGACGCUGAGGAGCGAAAGCCAGGGGAGCAAACGGG
rnacentral:rRNA from 1 species